UAAUACGGAGGGUGCGAGCGUUAAUCGGAAUUACUGGGCGUAAAGCGCAUGCAGGCGGCUUGUUAAGCAGAUGUGUAAAGCCCGGGGCUUAACCUCGGAAUUGCAUUUGAAACUGGCAGGCUAGAGUCUUGUAGAGGGGGGUAGGAAUUUCAGGUGUAGCGGUGAAAUGCGUAGAGAUCUGAAGGAAUACCAGUGGCGAAGGCGGCCCCCUGGACAAAGACUGACGCUCAGAUGCGAAAGCGUGGGGAGCAAACAGGAUUAGAUACCCCUGGUAG
rnacentral:rRNA from 1 species